rnacentral:misc_RNA from 1 species
GAAAUGCGAUACCUGGUGUGAAUUGCAGAAUCCCGCGAACCAUCGAGUCUUUGAACGCAAGUUGCGCCUGAGGCCACUUGGCCGAGGGCACGCCUGCUUGGGCGUCACGUCAAACACGCUCCCACCACUCAUCGGGAAGUGGGACGCGGCAUGUGGCCCCCCGUUUCGCAAGGUACGGUGGGCCUAAGAUGUGGCUGCCGGCCUAUCGUGCCGGACACAGCGCGUGGUGGGCGAUCUCGCUUUACUUACCGCAGUGCAUACGGACCGUAGCCGAUGUUAUGGCCUUAAGGACCCAAAGAACGGAGCACUUGAUGCUUCGACCGCGACCCCAAGUCAGGCGGGACUACCCGCUGAGUUUAA